UGCCUUUUAGAAUCUUUGCAAAGACGUCAGGUGUGCAGUGUGAAGAUGACCCUCUCCUUCAGGAGAACAAAAAAUUUAAAGAUGAAGUUAAGCUUCUAAGAGCAGAGGUGAAGCAGUUGCGAUGGGGAAUUAACAAAAUAAAGGAUGACAAAGCUACACAUUUCUAUACAAGGUUACCAUCAUUUGCUGUCUUUCUGUGGUUUUUUAACUAUUUAUCACCAAAAGCUGAAAGAAUGACAUUCUGAGGAGGAAAGAGCACAUCAACAACAGACAGACAGCGACCAAUGAAGACAUCAGUUCCUCUCAUUGAUCUGUUUUUGACAGUACUGAUGAGGCUUAACGUUGGACUCUUUGUCCAGGAUAUGGCAGACAGAUUUUCCAUUUCUAAAUCCACCUUUCCUAAUAUGUUUGUCACUCGGAUCUGUAUUUUGUAUGAAGAAUUGAAACUGAUUAAUGUUUUCUCAUCCAAAGAACUUAAGAAACAAACAACUCCCUCUGUAUUCAAGCCUUUUUCAGAAUUUGCGUAUUAUUUUAGAUUGUACUAAAAUUUUCAUUCAGAUAUCUUCCAGUUUAAUCAACCAGAACUUAACAUUUUCCAAUUACUAGCACCAUAAUACUCUCACAUUUUUAAUUGGUAUAACUCCAUCUGGAAUUAUAUCAUUUGUAUCACAGGCUUGGGGUUGGUAGAACUUUUGACAGACAGAUUGUUAUAGAAAGUUGGCUUCUUGAUCUGUUAGAACCAGAUGAUAAUGUGAUGGCAGACAAGGGGUUUACUAUUGCUGAUCUGCUUUAAGAAAGACAUAGCACUUUAAACAUACCACCUUUUCAGGGAAAAAAUAGUCAAUUUACUGUUAAGGAAGUGUUUGAAACCCAAGAAAUUGCUCAAGUUAGAAUCCAUGUUGAGUGAAGCAUUGGUCGAGUCAAGAUUUUUUAUUUGUUUGAUGGUGUAUUACCAUUAUCUCUUGCACCUAUUGCAUCAAAGUGCUUCCAGGUUGCCAGCUGACUAACACAUUUAGAUGUUCCUCUUGUUGUUGAAAGCAAAUAAUUUUUGAUACUGUUUCCACUUGAUGGGUAUUCUGAUCAGUCUCUAAGUAUAUGUUACUUUGAAAGCCAAUAAAAAGUACAAUGGACAACUAUAUAGGUUUUUAUAAACAGAGAAAAAAAGAGAUGUUACACUUUCAUGCUGAAAAUAAACAUGAAGGAAAUUUAUUUUCCAUAUCACAUGAAAUCUUUUUUGCGUCAAAAUAGUGCAAUAUUAUCUAUCAUGUCCCAGAAAGUAUUAUUUCCAAAUAAAACAAUUGCUGAAGGUGUACAUGUAGUGAUCAUUAUUAACCAGGACUGGUCAGGAUGAAAGCUGAUACAAAAGUAAACAAUUGGAGACAGUCAUUAUUACAUUAUCACAAAUAGUCAUUUCUGUGACUUGGCAUAUAUCAGUUGCAUGUUUGGUUCUGCUUUUAGUAUGAAACCUAUACAGGUUAUGUGACCUAAUUAUUACAUGUUCCUGCGCCAAACCAUGUAAU